ACGAGCUUCCGUUGAAUGACGUGCUUGCACUGAUUUCAACAAUGAAGCGAGUGGCGAACUGGUGAGUAACACGUGGGAAAUCUGCCCAGAAGCAGGGGAUAACACUUGGAAACAGGUGCUAAUACCGUAUAACAACAAAAUCCGCAUGGAUUUUGUUUGAAAGGUGGCUUCGGCUAUCACUUCUGGAUGAUCCCGCGGCGUAUUAGUUAGUUGGUGAGGUAAAGGCCCACCAAGACGAUGAUACGUAGCCGACCUGAGAGGGUAAUCGGCCACAUUGGGACUGAGACACGGCCCAAACUCCUACGGGAGGCAGCAGUAGGGAAUCUUCCACAAUGGACGAAAGUCUGAUGGAGCAAUGCCGCGUGAGUGAAGAAGGGUUUCGGCUCGUAAAACUCUGUUGUUAAAGAAGAACACCUUUGAGAGUAACUGUUCAAGGGUUGACGGUAUUUAACCAGAAAGCCACGGCUAACUACGUGCCAGCAGCCGCGGUAAUACGUAGGUGGCAAGCGUUGUCCGGAUUUAUUGGGCGUAAAGCGAGCGCAGGCGGUUUUUUAAGUCUGAUGUGAAAGCCUUCGGCUUAACCGGAGAAGUGCAUCGGAAACUGGGAGACUUGAGUGCAGAAGAGGACAGUGGAACUCCAUGUGUAGCG
rnacentral:rRNA from 2 species